CCAGGAACCUAUCCUUGCAACAAAGCCUGUUGCCAACUCUGUCCACAUAGCUAUUCAGGGGACACCAUCAUAGGGCCUAAUCACAUCAGCCACACUAUCAGAGGCUCGUUCACCUGCACAUCUACCAAUGUGAUUUAUGCCAUCAUGUGCCAGCAAUGCCCCUCUGCCAUGUACAUUGG